GACCGUGCGAAGGUAGCAUAAUCAUUAGUUUUUUAAUUGAAGGCUAGAAUGAAUGGUUGGACAAGAAAUAAUCUGUCUUAAUUAAAUAUAUUGAAUUUAACUUUUAAGUGAAAAGGCUUAGAUAAUCUGAAGGGACGAUAAGACCCUAUAAAACUUUAUAUUUAUAAGUUAAUAGUUAAUUUUAUUUAAAUAUAUUAUAUUUAAAUAUUUUGUUGGGGUGACAAGGAUAAAAUUAAAAAUAACUGUCCUUUUUUAUAACAAUAAUGUUUGUAUUAAUGAUCCUUAAAUGGAUUUAAGAUUAAGUUACUUUAGGGAUAACAGCGUAAUUUUCUUUAAGAGUUCUUAUCGACAAGAAAGUUUGCGACCUCGAUGUUGAAUUAAAAGUUCUUUAUAGAGUAGAGACUAUAAAAGAGGGUCUGUUCGACCUUUAAAUUUUUACAUGAUUUGAGUUCAGACCGGUGUGAGCCAGGUUGGUUUCUAUCU
rnacentral:rRNA from 1 species